GCGGCCAUGACCCUGCUGGAGUGCGGGGGGGACCUCCAGCCCCCCGGGGGGUCCCUGACUCUGCUCUGCCGCGGGAAUGGGUUCGAUUUUGGGAGUUACAGCAUGAUGUGGACCCGCCAGAGCCCCGGGAAAGGGCUGGAAUACGUCGCAGAGAUCAACAGCGGUGGCAGCAGCACCAACUAUGCGCCUUCAGUCAAGGGUUGGUUCACGAUCUCCAGGGACAACAGGCAGAGCUCGGUGACGCUGACCAUGAACAACCUCAAGGACGAGGAUUCCGGUGUUUAUUUCUGCAUCAAGAAUAGUGGCAAAACAGCCCCAGACACAAAUCUCAAGUCUUGA